rnacentral:misc_RNA from 1 species
CAUGAUCCGGGGCACGAGUGCUCGCGGAACAAGGCCCGGCCGACGGUCGUCCGUAGGGAGCGUGUGACGCUCAACUGAUGGACAGCGGAGGCCGUGGCCUCGCGAUCGCUUGAUUUUCCGCAUCCGAGAGACCGAGCGCCCAGUCGUGGGUCGACGGCCCGGCGCCCGUGUGUGGACGGGUGCUGGGACGGCGAAUCACGACGGGGGCUUUGAUGUCCUCCCCGCGUCGCGUCCCCGUGAGGAGCCGCGCCGAAAGGAGGAUUACGGGACGUUGGUAGCCGAAAGGAUUGCCAUUCGUUAGGAAUUCAGCACAGGAAACCCGCGUCGGCCAAGGCUUGCUCGCGCUUGGGCCAAUAGCUGAAGAGGAUUUGAUCGGGGCGUCGUCGCUGCCGGGGCAGGGAUCCGACGUGCCGAUGCAAACCAAACACCACUCA